UUAAAAAAUCUAAAUACUUUUGUUUUCUCGAUUAAAAACGCAUUAACGCGUGUCAUGAAAUAGCUGUCUAGAAGUUUUAACUAACAUAUUUAGUAUACCGCAUUACGCAAUACCAAUUAUGCAAAUAAUGAUUUUUGGCAAUAUUUUACUAACGACUUAAUUUGUCAUAUUGAAAUUUACUAUACAUAACCAACAAUUUUAUCGAUAUUGCUUUUUUCGCACUAUCACUCUACUACUCAUAUUGUUUUAAAAAUAUCAAUAUCAAAAAUGGCAUGUAAAAGAUCUUCUGAUGAACCUUCGGAAUGCAACAGCUUUCUUCAAAGCUCUAAACGGAUGGGCCAAGUUGCAACGCAUAUUCUUACUGCAGAAUCAGAAGUAGAAAUUGAUUUUAAUACAUCAAAAAAAAACACAAGAAAACUCCUUCAAGUCAGCAAUAAAAGAGAAAAAAAAAUGUAUUUUUGAAGAACCUCCUUUACCAUCAUUACCAUAGUGGGAGCCACCAAAGCUUCCUGAUUCCGAUUCAGUAUACAUUUUAAAAUUUUAUCCUAUUCGUAAAAAUAAUAAUUUUUUUUGUUUCAUUUUUAUGGUUUAUUUGCUUUUUUUAGUUACCAUUUUUGAAUAAAUAAAAAAAAAAAAAGUAAAAUAUAAUCAGAAUAUUGUGAAUGUAUUUAUAAUCAUUGUUAAUCUUGUUCAGAACUUUUGUUCAGAACUUUUUGUCCGUCUCUGUCUCAAUGGAUCAAGUAGAUGACUUGCCAGUUACACAGAUAGUGUUUCCAUCAGAAAUGCGUUCCAUGCGUUCAAUUUUAGACACUAAUCAUGGUAAUAAAGAAAAUAUUAAUAUAGAUUAUUUACCAGCUAAUUCAGUUGAAGAGUUUGACUCACUA